UGGGAUAUUAUGAGUGUGAGUCACUGUGCCUGGUUUAUCCUUUUUUUUUUUUUUUUUUUUUUUUUCCAGAUGAGAACAUCAAGGCACAGAAAGAUGAAGGAAUUUGUCAAUGGAGCAGCCAGGGUCUGAACCUAGGGCUGUCCCUGCGUUCCCCUGGACUGCACACACACCUGGACCAGGGAGGCAGAGCUGGAGAAGCUCCAGGGUGGUGACCUGCGGGAGGGAUCUGUCUGCUUCCCUCGAGGCCGAUGACCUGUGCCAUUCUUGCCCGUCCCCUCGCCAAGAGGAACUGAGACUAGUGAAAACUGCCCCCGUGGCUUGAGAUGGAUCCUGGGACCCAAAGUGGGGCCCUACAGGCUUCCUGUGUGAUGACCAUGUCUUCUUCCUGCCAGACACUCCCUGCCCCAUCUUAAAACUGGUUGAGAACCUUGUUUUAAUGAUUCAAGCUUUUUCCCUGUCCAAACAUUUUGUUAUGUUCAAGGAAUGCAGAUUGUUAAAGGAAAUAGCUUCUGAAAAAAAAUCUCGCCUGAGUUGUGUGGAAGAACUAUGGAUGCCCUUGCUUUGAGCAGAGACUUGCAAUUUUGAAGAGAACGUAAAUAGGCAGGUGUUGGGGGACAUGGUCCUCAGCCCCCAGCUUCUCCCUGUCCUGUCCCUGGGUGCGGGAUCUUCUUGCUGGCUGGAGGAGGUCUGAGCAGCGAUGUGGUGACUGCUGCGUUGUCUCCUGUGGCGGCUUCCUGGUCUGUUAUAAAGGACAGCUUUUCAGCCACUUUCUCUCUUUGGGCGGAAAAAGAUGGGUGAGAUUUACAAGAACACGUAUUUUUUUUUCCUGAUCAUUAUUCUCCUCCACCUACUACAUGCAG
rnacentral:lncRNA from 1 species